rnacentral:pre_miRNA from 9 species
UCUCGAUAGCGUAAAAGUUAACUCAAAUUUGUAUGGAGUUGGAAAAUUUGCCUACGUUUGCCACUAGGGGCGCUGUUCCAAGUACAUACAAAUUUGAGUUAACUUUCACGCUAUCGA